rfam:Hordeum vulgare subsp. vulgare, WGS project CAJW01000000 data, contig: morex_contig_2551091
UUGAUACUCACUCCGUCCCAAAAUCUUUGUCUUACAUUUGUCUAGAUAUGAAUGUAUCUAGUCAUAUUUUGGUAUUUAGAUACAUAUUUUUUAGACAAAUCUAAGACAAGAAUUUUGAGACGGAGGGAGUAUCAU